rnacentral:rRNA from 1 species
GCUUUAUUAAUUACAUGGUUAUAUCUUUAGACGAUGUUAAAUAUAAUCGUCAUAUUAAUUGUAUUGGGGUGAUAGGAAAAUAAUAAAACUUUUCUAUGUUUUAAACAAUAAUGAUUGGGAGCAGGAUCCUUUAUUAAAGAUUAAAAGUUUAAGU